AGGGGUAUAGCUCAGUUGGUAGAGCACUGGUCUCCAAAACCAGGUGUCGUAGGUUCAAGUCCUGCUACCCCUGCCA
rnacentral:tRNA from 2 species